CCUACGGGUGGCUGCAGUGGGGAAUAUUGGACAAUGGGCGAAAGCCUGAUCCAGCCAUGCCGCGUGUGUGAAGAAGGCCUUCGGGUUGUAAAGCACUUUCAGUGGGGAAGAAAGCCUUGGGGCUAAUACCCUCGAGGAAGGACAUCACCCACAGAAGAAGCACCGGCUAACUCCGUGCCAGCAGCCGCGGUAAUACGGAGGGUGCGAGCGUUAAUCGGAAUUACUGGGCGUAAAGCGCGCGUAGGCGGUCUGAUAAGCCGGUUGUGAAAGCCCCGGGCUCAACCUGGGAACGGCAUCCGGAACUGUCAGGCUAGAGUGCAGGAGAGGAAGGUAGAAUUCCCGGUGUAGCGGUGAAAUGCGUAGAGAUCGGGAGGAAUACCAGUGGCGAAGGCGGCCAUCUGGACUGACACUGACGCUGAGGUGCGAAAGCGUGGGUAGCAAACAGGAUUAGAUACCCCAGUAGUC
rnacentral:rRNA from 1 species